rnacentral:rRNA from 1 species
UACAGAGGGGGCAAGCGUUGUUCGGAAUUACUGGGCGUAAAGGGCGCGUAGGCGGCCUGUUAAGUCGAACGUGAAAUCCCCGGGCUCAACCCGGGAACUGCGUCCGAUACUGGCUGGCUUGAAUCCGGGAGAGGGAUGCGGAAUUCCAGGUGUAGCGGUGAAAUGCGUAGAUAUCUGGAGGAACACCGGUGGCGAAGGGCGGCAUCCUGGACCGGUAUUGACGCUGAGGCGCGAAAGCCAGGGGAGCAAACGGGG